rnacentral:lncRNA from 1 species
GUUCAGGGGGCUUCUAUGUAGCCAUCUUGACCAAAACCUGCCCUCGCUUCAUUUUCAGAGGGUAGUUCAAGUCCAGACUUCGCUUUAAGUUACUAGCCAGGUGUAAUCUUAGAAAAGUCUUACAGCAAGAAGGAUACUAAAAUAAAUUAUAUUCCUCACUUCCCCAGCUAGUCUCAAAGCUGUAAUUGGUAUUCAUUAUCUUCCUCUUCUUUUCUCUCCUUCCCAGUUCCCCCUGGCACUAUCGCUGAUUUGAGCUACUUGUAUGGUAGAGGACGUCCAGCCAGCUCAAAACACAGUCUUUGGACACAAUAUCAACAUGAAGACUUUGAAGGGACUCCAUGGAAUUGUGAUAGCUGCACUUUUUUAAACCAUCCAGCACUAAAUCACUGUGAGGAGUGUGAGAUGCCAAAAUCUGCUUGAAAUUCAGAAGAAUCUGCACCAUAUGGAGAGUAAAAUUUUGAGCUCUGAGACCUUGAGAAUCCUUUGUCCAGCCCAGCCUUUUCAUUUCAGAUUAUAUGGGAGAAGGAGUGAUACGGUAUUCUUUUGUGGUUUCUCAAGGAAAAAUUGGGGGUUUGUUUCCUUUAAGAGUGAAAGGUAAAAAAAGAUAUUUGGAACUGGGAAAGGAUUCAUUUCUGAAAGAUGGGUACAUAGAAAUCAGCACUUUUUUUGUGGAAUCCCUAUUGCUAAAGUUACUGCUGUAUAGCCUUUAUUUUUAAACUAGUACUUUGAAUUGUGAUAUGAAAUUUUACAGUUUCUUCAGAAAAACUGAAAUGCCACAUCAGACUCACUUGGUCACAGCUCUCUGGAAAACAAAGGCUCCUUAUGCUUCUUUACAUUGCUUCAUGCUGAAAAGGUAGAUAGGAAAAAAAGCACCCAGCAUAGUUUUGUUAAUUUGUUUGUUUUAUGCACAGUAAUAAGGGUGUUUAAUUUUUGCUUUUAUCAGAGGCAGUUUCAAAUACACCUGUACAAAAAGAGGAC